CUAGAUACCCAGCCGCAGGUGUGGCAGUAGCUGGUCGGGUAGUGUCGGAGGCGGGCGCCGUCGGGCAGAAAAAAUAAAGAAAAAAAAAAACAGUGUGGUACAUUAACCUCCUUCAUCACAAAACGAAAACAAAAGAAAAAAAAGAAGAAAACAAGCGCUCUCUUCUCACCGCCCGUGUUCUCUCUCCUCGAUAGAACAGAGGAAGAAGAACACAGAUCCCUCAGGUUCAAAGUGAACACCUGUAUUCCCAAGAGAAGAACA